rnacentral:lncRNA from 1 species
CUUGUGGCAAAUGCUACAGUAAUGACCAGACACAUCACACCCGCCUUCUAGAAGCCCUCCCUCACAAACCGGAUCAACUGCUAUGAUAAAGAAGAACCCACCCAGGUAAUCACUGCUUGCUCGGAUCCCAGCAAAUUCUAGAUCCCAGAACUAGUGCUCUUAGAGCCAAGGCCAGCCGAUCCAAGUCUGGACUACUGCUCAGAUGAGCCGAGCCUGAAUUUGGGAGUGGUUGUUACAGAGCAUUACCCUGGCAAUAACUGACUGAUGCAGAGAUGUAAAUAGACAUCACUGGUGGAGCCCCCAGGAAAGCUCUUUAACAGAAGACAGACUCAGCUGGCAGGUUUCCCGUCUCCUUGAAUGAAGACAGGCUCAAUGCUUGGAGGGGUGAGAGGAGGCAGCCAUCUUACAACCACAGGUCACAGGAAGACACUAAACAAGGCCGUGGUGUCCACUACCAUUCCUUGAGGGCUUACAAUGGCUUCUGGUUGGGAGAAAGAUGGGAAGAGGAGGACAUUCAAGAAGAUCAGAGACGUCUGGGGUGUGCAGAAGUAUUUUUCCUUCUUAUUUUCCUGUAUUCAAUAGGUAACACCAUGGUGUGUGGCUUUUCUGGGCAGCCUGCAAAUGUCAUUGCUAGUGACAACAUUUUUCUGCAGGAAAACAUAUUCCAGCUUUUAAUCAUCUUUAGAAUAAACCCAUUUAUAAGCAGU